GGGUCGUUAGCUCAGUUGGUAGAGCAGUUGGCUUUUAACCAAUUGGUCGAUGGUUCGAAUCCAUCACGACCCACCA
rnacentral:tRNA from 46 species